rnacentral:rRNA from 1 species
GUCGAGAAUCUUUCACAAUGGGGGCAACCCUGAUGGAGCGACGCCGCGUGGAGGAUAAGGUCUUCGGAUUGUAAACUCCUGUCAUGCGUGAACAAGGUUGCUUGGUUAAUACCUGGGCAAAUUGAUGGUAACGCAAGAGGAAGAGACGGCUAACUCUGUGCCAGCAGCCGCGGUAAUACAGAGGUCUCAAGCGUGGUUCGGAAUCACUGGGCGUAAAGGGUGCGUAGGUGGCGUGGUAAGUCAGAUGUGAAAGCCCGGGGCUCAACCUCGGAACUGCAUCCGAUACUGCCAUGCUAGAGUACUGGAGAGGUGACUAGAAUUCUCGGUGUAGCAGUGAAAUGCGUAGAUAUCGAGAGGAAUACCAAAGGCGUAGGCAGGUCACUGGACAGUUACUGACACUGAGGCACGAAGGCCAGGGGAGCGAACGGGAUUAGAAACCCCGGUAGUCC